UGGAGGCUGGUUGUGUUUGGGGGGUUGAUGGGGGAGGUGGAGGCUGGUUGUGUUUCCUCCUCCUCCUCCUCCUCCAGACUCAGCCAUACCUUCCUUCCAGACAGGUUACACAGAGCUUGCAUCCAGGCUGCUGAUAGCAGUGGGUGCAGUGCAAGAGGUGGGGGGUCUGAUAGCAGUGGAUGCAGUGCAGGGGGGUGCUGAUGAGGGGAUAUGAUAACUUUAUACAAAUAUAUUCGGGGCCAGUACAAACCUUUAUCUGGAAAUCUAUUCAUAAACAGGGUGUUGUGGUCGUGACCUAAAUAUGAAUAUUAAUCUCUUAAUACAUAAUAAUUAAGCAAUACGGAACAACAUUAAUAUUUUUAUAAUUCAUGGUAUUAUGGUCGAAUAUGUGGAUAGAAAAUACACAAAACGUUGUAAUAUUAAAUGUAUAUUUAAUAUAACUAUAAUAAAUAAACAGAUGCUAG